UCGUCAGGUAGGUUAACCCUUACCUUACCUAUUCCUCCAUUCAGGGGGCAGAUAGUACAUCAUGAUUGGAGUCCACAUGAUUCGUGAUUAACGUCUCUGCAUGAUUAGGCUCUUAGUACCCUAGUCACUAUCUGAU